AUUGAACGCUGGCGGCAGGCCUAACACAUGCAAGUCGAACGAGUGGCGGACGGGUGAGUAAUGUCUGGGAAACUGCCCGAUGGAGGGGGAUAACUACUGGAAACGGUAGCUAAUACCGCAUACCCUCGGAUGUGCCCAGAGGGGAUUAGCUAGUAGGUGGGGUAAUGGCUCACCCAGGCGACGAGCCCUAGAUGGUCUGAGAGGAUGACCGGCCCAACUGUAACUGAGACACGGUCCAGAGUCCUCCGGGAGGCAGCAGUGGGGAAUAUUGCACAAUGGGCUCAAGACUGCUGCAGCCAUGCCGCGUGUAUGAAGAAGGCCUUCGGGUUGUAAAGUACUUUCAGCGAGGAGGCGUUACUCGCAGAAGAAGCACCGGCUAACUCCGUGCCAGCAGCCGCGGUAAUUC
rnacentral:rRNA from 1 species